CUUAGCCUUUGAAAAACACU
rnacentral:snRNA from 1 species